rnacentral:misc_RNA from 1 species
UACCCCCGUCAGGCCGCACCUGAUCGAGUACCGAGCCUAUAUAACGCAGCGCCCGAGCGGCGAGCACACAUUUGCUGCCCGGCGCCCGCGCUGUCAACAUCGUUCGUAGUCAGUGUAUCGACGGUCACGUGAGCUACUUAUUGUUUUUGCUGUAACUAUUUAUAACUGUGAAAGUGUUGUUUUUCAGGCGUGAUUAUUGUUUGUGUUUACCAUCGAUUAAAAGUGUAAAGAAAGUGUUUGAUAUUUGGUUCUCUUGUCUGUAAUUUUUGAUUGUAAGAUUAAUAAAUCCUGUGUUUACUUGUUGUUCUAUUUUUUUUUUAAAUAUUUACCGCUUCUGAUGCUAAGAUCAGAAGUGGGAUAAAUUACUCAAAUUGCCCACUAUAAAUUUCUAAAGAGAACAAAAUAUCACAGUUGUUUUGUAUACGUAACCGUCACGAUUUAAAUUUUUCCUUUUUGAAAUUUGUUGAUGGUGAUUGCAUACUUCAUAGCUUUUGUGUGUUGUUUACACCGAUCUAGUGUAACUGUGAUAGCAUGGAGCGAGAUAAAUCUCGUGGUCGAUCACGGCAUCGUUCGCGGAGUGGCUCACGUGUCCGUGGUCGCGUACGACCGCGUGGUGUUUCUCGAACUCGUACGAUGCGGCGGAGUCGAGGUAGUUCGCAUGAUAGCGUUAGAUCGCGGUGUCACUCACGACGUUUUGGUGAGAGGUUAUCCCGAAGCAAGUCGCGUGAUUCCUCGCGUCGUCAUUACCGUCGGUCGCAUAACCCAUCGCGUCGUCGUAAUCGCCACCGUGGCUCUCGAAGCGGAUCACGACAGUCACGCAGUAUCACGCGUCGCCCUUUAGGCCGCCAUAGCCGCCGUGGGCGAGGUAGUAUUUCACCGGAUUCUAGAACACCUCCAUCUGCAUUGAACAACCCUAUGCAAUCUACCCUCGGUGCAAAUAUGACGGAAUCGCCACAACCGCCAUCCGGUACGAGCAGUAGCUUAAAUAAAGAACGAUGCAUAGAUUCAGCAACUCGAUGCUCCGAGGUAUCCACCCUGGCGCAGGCUUUAAUGGAAGCGAUAAAGAGUGUCCAACCCGUUAGGUCACAACAUUAUUUCGUUUCGAGUUUCGAUCCUUCAGUUAAUAACAUCGAAGCAUGGUGUGAGGAGGUGGAUCGUGCGAGGGACGCUAAUGGCUGGGGCGAUCCUGAGUGUUUGUCACGAGUAGCAUCGUGUUUAAAAGGCGACGCCAAGUUAUGGCUGAGCGAAUGGGUGACAAGCGAUCGCUCAUGGACUAACUUUAAGCGAGAAUUUAAACCACUCUGCCCCAGUAAAUUAGAUUACGCAAAUAUCCUAUUUGAUGCCAUGAACGCAACGUCAGAUAAAUAUCCAACGUACGCUGAAUACGCGCGUCGCACUCUGUUGCGUUUACGAGUAGUCCAAGGCCUUAGUGAUGAACUACGUACGCUUAUUGUCAUUCGAGGUAUUGAUAGUCCACAAGUACGCGCAGCAGCCGCCAAUGCUCAGUUGUCACCGGAUAGCUUGGUAUCGUUUUUAUCAAUUUAUACCAAGCCCAAAUUAAGAAACGAUACACGUUCUUCCAAAAUAACUCUCAGUAAUAUACCAAAGCCGGGUCCUAAAGCGGACAUAAAAUGUUUCACCUGUGGCCAGCGAGGACAUAUGGGACGCGAUUGCACUAAGCAACAUAGGCCGUCUAAUUCAAAUCCCCCUGCGCGAUCAAAUACUAAUAAUACACCCGCGCAACAAACAGCUGCCGGUAAUAGUCAAUCGUGCUCUUUUUGUAAAAAGAUGGGCCACCGUGAGGACACAUGCUUUGCUAAAGCACGGUCUGAAUCUUGAAAUCACCAAGGAUCUGUUAGAAAAAGGCGUUAUUAGGAGAUCUAAGUCUGAAUACGCUAGUCCCAUUCUGUUACUGAAAAAACGCGACGGCUCAGAUAGACUUUGUGUGGACUUUAGAGGCCUCAACCGUGUCACUGUGAAGGACCGUUACCCCCUUCCCUUGAUCGAUGAUCACAUCGAUAGGUUGGGAAACUACCAAUAUUUCUCCAGUAGAUAUGGCGACAGGAUUCCACCAAAUCCCCAUCAAGGAAGAGUGUAUUCACUUAACGGGAUUCGUUAUAUCACUUUGAGCACGUGAAGAUGCCAUUUGGGCUGGCUAAUGCGCCUAUCAUAUACCAACGCAUAAUAAACGAUACGUUGCACGACUUUAUAGAUACAGGUAACGUUUUAGUUUACGUAGACGAUGUGCUUUUACUUAGCAAUACUGUUAGCGAGGGUAUCGAUCUUUUACGAAGAGUGUUACGUACUCUUACGGAGGCCGGGUUCUCUAUCAAUUUUAAAAAAGUGUUCUUUUCUUAUUACCGAGGUUGAGUACUUAGGCAGGGUAGUCAGUGGUGGUCAGGUGAGGCCGAGCCCACGUAAAGUGGAAGCGUUGGUAAAUACAUCGCCACCCGAUACGUAGUGCGAAAUAACCUUCUCUGUUACCGGUAUGUACCUGUGGGUGAGGAGCCACGUUAUUUAUGUUACAUACCCAAAGGGCACCGUCUUAGUCUUCUACGUGCGUUUCACGACGAGCACGACCACAUCGGAGCAGAAAAGACUGUGGACCUCAUCAUGAGACACUUCUGGUUCCCGGGAGUUAAGCAGUUCGUCAACAACGGCUUGGCAAUGGCUACGGCAAGACUAUGCAAGCUGUCGCACAAUACAUGGUGCCGUGGCGAGCGGAGUGGUGCCCCGAGUCGUGUGCCGCAUUUUUUGAAGACGAUGAUGAUAGAGACGAGCCCGGUACUCCGCCUGCCCCCAGCGCAGGCUUAUCCAUGCCCUUGCUGCAGCCGGAUAGUGAAGCAGGACCAUCGACUGCCGGAAGAAAUACUGUCCCAGCAGCCCAGGACGAGGACGCCCUACUAUCAGGAGAGGCCGUAUAAGCAGUACCCCCGUCAGGCCGCACCUGAUCGAGUACCGAGCCUAUAUAACGCAGCGCCCGAGCGGCGAGCACACAUUUGCUGCCCGGCGCCCGCGCUGUCAACAUCGUUCGUAGUCAGUGUAUCGACGGUCACGUGAGCUACUUAUUGUUUUUGCUGUAACUAUUUAUAACUGUGAAAGUGUUAUUUUUCAGGCGUGAUUAUUGUUUGUGUUUACCAUCGAUUAAAAGUGUAAAGAAAGUGUUUGAUAUUUGGUUCUCUUGUCUGUAAUUUUUGAUUGUAAGAUUAAUAAAUCCUGUGUUUACUUGU